rnacentral:rRNA from 1 species
GCUGGCGGCAGGCCUAACACAUGCAAGUCGAACGGAGUUAUAUUGUAGCUUGCUAUGGUAUAACUUAGUGGCAGACGGGUGAGUAAUGUAUAGGAAUCUACCUAGUAGUACGGAAUAAUUGUUGGAAACGGCAACUAAUACCGUAUACGCCCUACGGGGGAAAAAUUUAUUGCUAUUAGAUGAGCCUAUAUUAGAUUAGCUAGUUGGUGGAGUAAUAGCCUACCAAGGCAAUGAUCUAUAGCUGAUCUGUGAGGAUGAUCAGCCACACUGGAACUGAGAUACGGUCCAGACUCCUACGGGAGGCAGCAGUGGGGAAUAUUGGCCAAUGGGCGAAAGCCUGAUCCAGCCAUGCCGCAUGAGUGAAGAAGGCCUUUGGGUUGUAAAGCUCUUUUAGUGAGGAAGAUAAUGACGGUACUCACAGAAGGAGUCCUGGCUAACUCCGUGCCAGCAGCCGCGGUAAUACGGAGAGGGCUAGCGUUAUUCGGAAUUAUUGGGCGUAAAGGGCGCGUAGGCGGAUUAGUAAGUUAAAAGUGAAAUCCCAAGGCUCAACCUUGGAACUGCUUUUAAAACUGCUAAUCUAGAGAUUGAAAGAGGAUAGAGGAAUUCCUAGUGUAGAGGUGAAAUUCGUAAAUAUUAGGAGGAACACCAGUGGCGAAGGCGUCUAUCUGGUUCAAAUCUGACGCUGAGGCGCGAAGGCGUGGGGAGCAAACAGGAUUAGAUACCCUGGUAGUCCACGCUGUAAACGAUGAAUGUUAAAUAUGGGAAGUUUUACUUUCUGUA